UGAGGGCUGCCCGAUGCGUCAGAAUAUACAUCGCUUGGGGCCUUACGUUCUUCUAGGGAGCUGUCCCUGUGCUCGACCGUGGUCUUGCGUAAACGGCGCCCACCUACACUUGUAGGUCUCCGAGGAAAACAUCAUUCAACGGUCUGGGUGGCUCUCAC
rnacentral:other from 1 species